GCGCGGAGUGAACCCUAUAAACAGGAUUAAUACAUGCAAGUCGAAUGUUAAUAUAUAACAUGGCGUCCGGGUGAGUAAUAGCAGAGAAUAUAGCUUUUAGGUUCAGGAUAAAAUACUGAAUAAUAUAUGAAAGAUUAAUCGCCUUUAAGAAUAGCUCUGUGAAGAUUAGCUAGUUGGUGGUAUAAAAGACUAUCCAAGGCAAAGAUCUUUAGCGGGUAUGAAAGUACGUUCCGCCACAUACGAACUGAAACAAGGUCGUAACUAAAAUAUUAGGCAGCAGUAAUGAAUAUUGCCCAAUGUAAGAAAUUGUGAGGCAGCUAUGUUUAUUUUAUAAAAUGUACCUAUAAUGAAGGAUUUAUAAUAAAGCACGGUCCAACACUUGUGCCAGAAGACUCGGUUAUACAAGGCGUGCGAGGGUUACUCUAUUACUAAAGGUGUAAAGNAUCUGUAGGUGGAAAAUAUANGUCUUGNUNUUAAANAAUAAGUAUAUAAAACUUAUAAUGNANAAGAAACAGAUUAUCUAGAGUUAUAGAGAGGAUUAUGGAAUUACUAGUGUAUCAAUAAAAUGAGUAGAUAUUAGUAGGAACACCAAAGGCGAAGGCAAUAAUCUGGUUAUUAACUGACACUGAGAGAUGAAAGUCUGGGUAGCAAAAUCGAUUAGAGACCGAUGUAGUCCAUGACUGUAAACGAUGUCCGCCAUGUGUAAGACUAUACUAGUUUUGUGCAGAAAAUAACUUGUUAAGCGGACCACCUGAGUACUACGAUCGCAAGAUUAAAAUUCAAAUUAAUAGGCGGUACUAAAAUAUACGGAGGAACAUGUGGUUUAAUUUGACGAUCCGCGUGAAACCUUACCAUUCCUAGUUUACUUAUAAUAAGUAAUCAGUUGAUGCAUGGCCGUCGUCAGUUCGUGUUUUGAGAUGUAAGAUUAAUUUCGUUCAACGAACGCAACCCCUAUUAUAAAUUAAGUAUGUAUUUAUAAUACCGCUAAGGAAACUUGGAGGAAGGAGGGGAUAACGUCAGGUCCUUAUGUCAUUUAUGGAAUCGGGCUACACAUGUGUUAUAAUGGUUGUUACAAUGAUUUAUGGCUCAGCAAUGAGUAAUUAAUAUUUAAAGACAGCCUUAGUUCGGAUUGUUGACUGAAAAGCGUCAGCAUGAAGCAAGAUUCGCUAGUAAUCGAAAAGUAGAGCGUUUCGGUGAAAAUAUAAUUUAGUGCGUACUAACCGCCCGUCGCUCCUGGAAAUUUUGGGUUAAUCAGAAGGAUCUAAGAGUAAAAAGACACCUUAUCUUAUGAAGAUAAGCUCAUUAUAUAAUUAGGUACGAAGAU
rnacentral:rRNA from 1 species